rnacentral:rRNA from 1 species
GACGAACGCUGGCGGCGUGCCUAAUACAUGCAAGUAGAACGCUGAAGGAGGAGCUUGCUCUUCUGGAUGAGUUGCGAACGGGUGAGUAACGCGUAGGUAACCUGCCUGGUAGCGGGGGAUAACUAUUGGAAACGAUAGCUAAUACCGCAUAAGAGUAGAUGUUGCAUGACAUUUGCUUAAAAGGUGCAAUUGCAUCACUACCAGAUGGACCUGCGUUGUAUUAGCUAGUUGGUGGGGUAACGGCUCACCAAGGCGACGAUACAUAGCCGACCUGAGAGGGUGAUCGGCCACACUGGGACUGAGACACGGCCCAGACUCCUACGGGAGGCAGCAGUAGGGAAUCUUCAGCAAUGGACGGAAGUCUGACCGAGCAACGCCGCGUGAGUGAAGAAGGUUUUCGGAUCGUAAAGCUCUGUUGUAAGAGAAGAACGAGUGUGAGAGUGGAAAGUUCACACUGUGACGGUAUCUUACCAGAAAGGGACGGCUAACUACGUG